rnacentral:rRNA from 1 species
CAUAGAAGGCAUCUUUUAUGGUUGAAAAUUCCGAUGGUUAGAGAUGGGCAUGCGUUGUAUUAGCUAGUUGGUGGGGUAACGGCUCAGCAAGGCGACGAUACAUAGGGGGACUGAGAGGUUAACCCCCCACACUGGUACUGAGACACGGACCAGACUCCUACGGGAGGCAGCAGUGAGGAAUAUUGGUCAAUGGACGCAAGUCUGAACCAGCCAUGCCGCGUGCAGGAUGACGGCUCUAUGAGUUGUAAACUGCUUUUGUACGAGGGUAAACGCAGAUACGUGUAUCUGUCUGAAAGUAUCGUACGAAUAAGGAUCGGCUAACUCCGUGCCAGCAGCCGCGGUAAUACGGAGGAUUCAAGCGUUAUCCGGAUUUAUUGGGUUUAAAGGGUGCGUAGGCGGUUUGAUAAGUUAGAGAUGAAAUUUCGGGGCUCAACCCUGAACGUUCCUCUAAUACUGUUGAGCUAGAGAGUAGUUGCGGUAGGCGGAAUGUAUGGUGUAGCGGUGAAAUGCUUAGAGAUCAUACAGAACACCGAUUGCGAAGGCAGCUUACCAAACUAUAUCUGACGUUGAGGCACGAAAGCGUGGGGAGCAAACAGGAUUAGAUACCCUGGUAGUCCACGCAGUAAACGAUGAUAACUCGUUGUCGGCGAUACACAGUCGGUGACUAAGCGAAAGCGAUAAGUUAUCCACCUGGGGAGUACGUUCGCAAGAAUGAAACUCAAAGGAAUUGACGGGGGCCCGCACAAGCGGAGGAACAUGUGGUUUAAUUCGAUGAUACGCGAGGAACCUUACCCGGGCUUGAAAGUUAGCGACGAUUCUUGAAAGAGGAUUUCCCUUCGGGACGCGAAACUAGGUGCUGCAUGGUUGUCGUCAGCUCGUGCCGUGAGGUGUCGGGUUAAGUCCCAUAACGAGCGCAACCCCUACCGUUAGUUGCUAUCAGGUGAAGCUGGGCACUCUGGCGGGACUGCCGGUGUAAGCCGAGAGGAAGGUGGGGAUGACGUCAAAUCAGCACGGCCCUUACGUCCGGGGCUACACACGUGUUACAAUGGUAGGUACAGAGGGCAGCUACCCAGCGAUGGGAUGCGAAUCUCGAAAGCCUAUCUCAGUUCGGAUUGGAGGCUGAAACCCGCCUCCAUGAAGUUGGAUUCGCUAGUAAUCGCGCAUCAGCCAUGGCGCGGUGAAUACGUUCCCGGGCCUUGCACUCACCGCCCGUCAAG